CUACGGGACGCUGCAGUAAGGAAUAUUGCACAAUGGGGGAAACCCUGAUGCAGCAACGCCGCGUGGACGAAGAAGGCCUUCGGGUCGUAAAGUCCUUUUCUGAGGGAAGAGGAAGGACGGUACCUCAGGAACAAGUCUCGGCUAACUACGUGCCAGCGGCCGCGGUAAAACGUAGGAGGCGAGCGUUAUCCGGAUUCACUGGGCGUAAAGGGCAAGUAGGCGGUUGUUUAAGUUAGGUGUGACAUCUCUCGGCUUAACUGGGAGGGAGCGCUUAAAACUAGGCAACUAGAGGGCGGAAGAAGGGGGUAGAACUCCAAAUGUAGCGGUGGAAUGCUCAGAUAUUUGGAAGAAUACCAGUGGCGAAGGCGACCCCCCGGUCCGUGCCUGACGCUGAGAGGCGAAAGCUAGGGUAGCGAACGGGAUUAGAUACCCCGGUAGUC
rnacentral:rRNA from 1 species